CUUUUUUAAUUAGAUUAUAUUAUCAUUUAAAAACUAUAAUCAAAACACAAAUAUAUAAUUCCUCCGGUCACAUAGGCAUUUCAAAUUUUACUACAUGUGUAGUGAACAAAUUCCGGUGUCUUAAAAAAAAAUUAACAUUUUAGUCACUAUUAUAAGCAAAAGUUAAGUAAAUGCGAUUUAUAUUGAACAUAUUGAUUUAUGCAUGUUAAAUUUAUAUUAUUUUUUUAUUUUUUAUUUUUAAAUUUAAAAUAUAUUAAAAUGUUUUUUUUUUGUCAUAUUUUUCCCCGUGCUUGGCACGGGUCCG
rnacentral:lncRNA from 1 species